UCUAAAGCUAAUGGAUUGGAAUUCUAUUCAGUCAUUGCAUAAAAUGUGCUCACUCUCCCAGAAAGCCUUAUAGUAAAUAAAAUUCUAAAUUAUACAGAUCAAUGCCUAGUGAUCUGUUAAGACAGAUGAUUAAAAUCGCAUUAAUUAACAUUGAAAACAUCUUAUAAGGCAAUUGUCCUUGCCUAUGCCAGCCAUCAUGGAAGGCAUCUGCUCUGGAAGGGGAUUCCCUAAGCGAAGGGAGAAGGGUGCUUUGCUCUGAAGAUGGGGAUUAGUUUAUGUGUUAUUUGGUGCUAUGGUGAGUUUGUAGCAUGUACUGAAGUGGCCACAGUUAUGCAGGGGUAAUGAGAGAUUAUUAAGAGUAAGGGAGAAAGUAGCUGGGAGCAAGAGAAAUGGCAGUUACAUUGUAAGGUCCAGAAAAACUCCUUAAGAAGUUAGUUACUCCCUGGAAUUUGUAAUAGAAAUCACCUUGCCGAGAAUUUUCUCUAGAGGUGAAGCAAAGCUGAUGUGCACCCCCAUUCUACUGAACUCAUAACUCUCACGAUAUACUUUGUACCUUUGGGGAAAAAAGGAAAUCGGAGUCCUAGGUUAGUUUACUUUUUGUACUUCUGGGUGCCAGAGCUUUCAUGGGAGAUGUAGUUAGGGCAUUUGUGGUGAACUUUUUUGGAGGGAGAAGGACGGAGGGCUUUGUGUGAUGAGUCACAAGCAUGCCUUAAAUAGUGAUGUGUCACUGCUUGUUCUCAAAUGGACCAUCUGGAUAACACCCUCAUACUUAUUCCUUUUUACCAGCAUGAGGGUGCUCUGUGGAAACUGUGUUCUCACUAGAGUAGAAAACCAGGUAACUUUGUCAACACAGAAGUCUAUUUUCUCCCUUCUUCCUGCAACCCUGUGGAGUCAUGGGAAGUGCAGAGAAAAAAUGAACAUCUCUGAAUACUGGAUUAAACCAGGAGACUGUAGUGCUGCUGUUUUUGAUAACUAGAAGAAGGGGCCAUGUUAUUCAGUCAUGUUGCAACUUCUGGUUGGAAUGUGCCGACCUUGCCUGUGUCUGUUGAGUCUUAUGAAGUAUCUCCAGGGAUUUUUAAGGCCGACAAGAAAAUGCUCUGAAGGUAGAUGAAAGGGAAGUCUGUGCAGCGAGUCCCAGCACAAGCCAGAGAAAAUUUUCUGAAUCUAAAGCAAUCUGCUUUGUUGCAUCUGGACAAAGCUCUGAGAGGAAGGAGAGGCAUGUGCUGCCUUCCAAAUGGACAGGAGCGUCGUGUCAGACUCUUGCUGGCAGGUGCUCCUCAUUGGUAGUGCUCCUCCCCAGCCAUGAGAAAACAGAUGGAUUGUAUAGUCUUCUGAACUGGAACUCUUCACUGUUACCUGUCUCUUGCACAAAGACCUUCAUUUUUAGGAGAUUUUGUGUUUCAUCUAGAAAUCAAUUGUCAGGAUAUUGUACUUGGAAAUAUUUGAUCUAUAUCCUUUGAAAAUUUAAAGGUAGAGGAUUGACUGGCAAGAUUCUGAGAAGAACCGUAUAAGCUUUAUGAGUAAAACAAAAUGCCUUGUUUGAGUUCAGUAAACACAGACUGAGUCUCUUCAGUGCCAGUUAAUGAGCCUACCUAGAUGAAGAUGAUCCUGUCAUGCUGGAUCCUUCAGUCCAGUCCAGUAUAAAAAGUAUAUAAUGGGGGCACAUACAGUGUGUCCCUGGCAGGCAGGGGUGAAUGUAUCUAAAGAAGAUUGGGAAAGUGUCUAGUAGGGUGGAUGCCAUUGCUGUUGUUCACCACGUGCAGAAGAGGGGGAGGGACAUCACAAGCAGAGGGAUGGAUGUACACAAAAGACAGUGGAUUGUGUGCACAUGACCUGUGCUGGACCAGUAGGGAGGUUUGGAUGGCUAGAGCUUCUUUUUUUUUUUUUUUAAAUUUUUUUUUUUCAACGUUUAUUUAUUUUUGGGACAGAGAGAGACAGAGCAUGAACGGGGGAGGGGCAGAGAGAGAGGGAGACACAGAAUCGGAAACAGGCUCCAGGCUCUGAGCCAUCAGCCCAGAGCCCGACGCGGGGCUCGAACUCCCGGACCGCGAGAUCGUGACCUGGCUGAAGUCGGACGCCUAACCGACUGCGCCACCCAGGCGCCCCGGCUAGAGCUUCUUUAAAAAAAUUUUUUUAGUGUUUAUUUUUGAGAGAGAGAGGGAGAGAGAGGGAGCGAGCGAGCAGGGGAGGGGCAGAGAGAGAUGGAGACACAGAAUCCGAAGCAGGCUCCAGGCUCUGAGCUGUUAGCACAGAGCCCAAGUUUGGGGGCGGGGUAGGGGGGAUGGGGACUCGAACUCACGAACCGUGAGAUCAUGACCUGAGCCAAAGUCACACACUUAAUUGAGCAAGCCAGGCACCCCAAGUGGCUAGAGCUUUAUGGUGGAUGGGGCCUAAGUGAGUCUAAGAUCCACUGGGGUUAGUUGGAGAUGGGAGGUUGAGUGUGUGGAGAUAGGUUGGUUGUCACUAGGGCGUUCCUAAACUGGAAGCAGGAGGGGGUUGAGACAUAGGAGGCAACUGCUACCUGAAAAUAGCUUGUAUGUUGCAUGAGCAAUAUAUGUAAGAUGUCAACAAAUCACAAUUUA